GGCGUUCGCCCGGGGGAAGGCAGCAGGGGCGGUUGAGAAGUGAAGUCUUGGCUGGAGUUUGCUUCUUGCCAGGAAAUCCGCAGCGGCGGCGGCGAUUCCCGGCGGAGCGGAGGCCGGCCGGCCGCGCGCUCCCUCAGCGGGCCGCGGAGAGCGGAGCCGGCGCUGGGCUGCGGCGCGGGGAGCCGGAAGCGCCGGGAAGCCGCGCGUCCCCAGAAAGCCCACCCUUAGUGGACGUGUAACGCAUGAAGACACAGAGGCUGCCUCAGCCGAUUCCAGAUGGGAACGACGAGUGAUGAGAUGGUGUCUGUGGACCCGAACUCCUCCUCCUCCUCCUCCUUCAAUCCCCUGUGUUUUGAGUGUGGCCAGCAGCACUGGACGAGAGAAAACCACUUGUACAAUUACCAGGACGAAGUGGACGAUGACCUGGUGUGCCACAUUUGCCUGCAGCCUCUGCUGCAGCCGCUGGAUACCCCCUGUGGACACACGUUCUGCUGCAAGUGCCUCCGGAACUUCCUGCAGGAGAAGGAUUUCUGUCCAUUGGACCGGAAGAGACUUCACUUUAAGUUGUGUAAGAAGUCUAGCAUUCUAGUUCAUAAACUCCUGGACAAAUUAUUGGUUUUAUGUCCAUUUUCUUCAGUGUGCCAAGAUGUAAUGCAGCGCUGUGACCUGGAGGCACAUCUCAAAAACAGAUGCCCUGGAGCGUCUCUCCGGAGAGCUGCCCUGGAGAGGAGGAAGCGCAGUAAAGCGCAGUCAGAGGUCGAGAGUGAGAGCGGAGCCGCCGUCCCCGAGCUUCCAGUGACCCUACCGCCCGACGUGGACGGUGCGGGGCCCGGCCUGGCACCUGCGGAGCGGACCCCGACGCCCGCGCCCCUUCCGGCCUGGCCCGAGGAGCCAGGCCUGGACAACCCGGCUUUCGAGGAGAGCCCCGCGGCCGACGCUGCACAGCAGCCACUCAGUUUACCAGAAGGCGAAAUCACCACCAUUGAGAUUCACCGCUCUAAUCCCUACAUUCAGCUAGGAAUUAGCAUCGUGGGCGGCAACGAAACGCCGCUGAUUAACAUUGUUAUCCAGGAAGUCUAUCGGGAUGGGGUAAUCGCCAGGGACGGAAGACUCCUGGCUGGGGACCAGAUUCUUCAGGUCAACAACCACGACAUCAGCAGCGUGUCGCACAACUACGCCCGCGCGGUGCUGUCGCAGCCCUGCAGCACGCUGCAGCUCACGGUGCUCCGCGAGAGGCGCUUCGGCGGCCGCGCGCACGGCCACGCCGAGGGCGGCGCGGCGCGGGAGGAGGUCUUCCAGGUGGUCCUGCACAAGCGGGACUCGGCCGAGCAGCUGGGCAUCAAACUCGUGCGAAGGACCGACGAGCCGGGCGUCUUCAUCCUCGACCUGCUGGAGGGGGGGCUGGCCGCGCAGGACGGGAGGCUCAGCAGCAACGACCGCGUGCUGGCCAUCAACGGGCACGACCUGAAGCACGGCACGCCCGAGCUGGCCGCCCAGGUCAUCCAGGCCAGUGGAGAGAGGGUGAAUUUAACCAUCGCUCGACCAGGAAAACCCCAGCCUGGAAACUCGGUCCGAGAAGCAGGAGCUCAGAGCAGCAGCCAGCACCACGCGCAGCCGCUGUGUUACAGCAGACCUGGCUCACACAAGGACCUCUCCCAGUGUGUUACAUGCCAAGAAAAACACAUCACUAUAAAGAAGGAACCACACGAGUCCCUUGGCAUGACCGUCGCGGGGGGCCGAGGAAGUAAGAGUGGGGAACUGCCCAUCUUUGUGACCAGUGUGCCACCUCAUGGCUGCCUUGCACGUGAUGGCAGAAUCAAGAGAGGUGACAUCUUGCUGAACAUCAACGGCAUCGAUCUGACCAACUUAAGUCACAGCGAGGCCGUCGCUAUGCUGAAAGCCAGCACCGCGUCCCCCACGGUGGCCCUGAAGGCACUGGAGGUGCAGGUUGUGGAGGAGGCCGCCCAGGGCCCAGACGAACAGCCAAGCACUUUCAGCGAGAACGAGUACGAUGCCAGCUGGUCCCCGUCGUGGGUCAUGUGGCUGGGGCUGCCCAGUGCCCUGCACAGCUGCCAUGAUGUCGUCUUACGAAGAAGCUACCUGGGAAGCUGGGGCUUCAGUAUUGUUGGUGGCUAUGAAGAGAACCACACCAACCAGCCUUUCUUCAUUAAAACCAUCGUCUUGGGAACUCCCGCCUAUUAUGAUGGAAGAUUAAAGUGUGGAGACAUGAUCGUGGCCGUGAACGGCCUGUCCACGGUGGGCAUGAGCCACUCGGCGCUGGUGCCCAUGCUGAAGGAACAGAGGAACAAAGUCACGCUGACGGUCAUUUGCUGGCCUGGCAGCCUGGUGUAGGUGUGGAAGCUGCUUCUGAGUCAGACAGCGACCUUUUCCAGGCUGCGGGAAGCAGACCCGGGGGCUGCUGUUGGCUGGGGACUGCCGGCACCGCAGGUCCACGCGGGGCCCAAACCACCAGGCUUCUCUCCUGUUACACCUUAAGGGGGUUCCUCCAGUUCACCCCGUUUCUUCCUGCUCAGCAACGGUCUUCCCCUCAUCUUGUGAGACCCCAUUUUCGGAGAGGUGAGACUCCGUUGUGAGGACGUGCCCCGUCAGAGUGAGUGAAGGCUGCCCGGGCUGGGACCCAGCCCGCCGGCUGCCAUGGCUGCGGGUGGCUCUUUGGUGUCAGGAACCGAGUCAUAGAGCUCCCCGUGCCCAAGACGAGCCUCAGCGAGACGGCGGCGGGCGCGCUGCCCUGGAGCACGUUUUCCGUUUGGACAAGCCUUGCCCAGUUUUCAUCGGUGCCAACAUUUCAAAACUUCAUCCCGUUUAUAAGGUGAUUUUUCUGGCUUAUUUUAUUUCUACUUUAAUCUCUCAGUGCUCAUAGAUGAAGACGUAAGUCUGAGACCACGAAAGAGAUUUUUUUUUAAAUACUGUACCAUUAUUAGCAUAGCAGAGACUAAAACAUGAUAUUAUCCAGUGACAAAGGAACAGGGGAGCUAAUUGUAGGUUAGUGCUGGAGAUGGUAAAGCUGCCUUUACUUGAACAGUCCAAAAGCAUUAAAGGUUCAUUUCCAAAGGGAUGUUUUGUUACGUAGGAAAAUUUUAAAGCAGUUUUUGCUAAAAAGAUCAUUUUCUAGAGUUUGUAUUAUACUUAUAUCAGCAAACUCGAUUGGGAAUGUAUUUGUGAUUUAAGCAGUUAGAGGAUAAAUAUUAGACCACACUGCUGUUAAACACACACUCCUCCAGACCACAGCAAAGCAGAAGGUAGACCUUUUUUACCUUAUCCUCUUGAAUGUUUUAGAAACCCUGCUUUCUUCCCCAAUACUUCUUUACUUGUGAACUUGGUUAUUUCAGGAGAAAGUCUUAAAGAUAUAACACCUGAAACCUAUUCCAGAUUUGGCGAGGGGAAAAAAAAAAAAAUUCAAUCAGUCCUUGGCCACUAGACUCUCAUGGUUUUUUUGAGGUGAUUUUGAAAACGAGCAGCCCGUUUGAUUUGUCCUCGGUUCAUCGCGGUUGUCAGUGGGAAGAACUCGUACAGCAGUGAGUAAAAGCUGCGUCUUGACCUUCCUGCUCCUGUGCACACCUGGAACGUUUCCUCUAGCGACCUCGUUCAGAGUCUGAGCUCAUUUACAAGCGGCCUCUUGAUGGUGAUGAUCCGAGAAUGUAUUUCAAGGCAUCACGUCAGCAUUGCCGCAUCCCCGCUUGAAGCCUGGGGAUCAUGAGCUCGUCUUCUCGUUCUCCUCCCGGGGGCAGACCCCGCGUGAGCCCUCCUGACGCGGAGCGCCCGCCCGCCUCUGCGGGACCUCGGGGCCGUGGCCGCCGAGCGCCAGAAACACGACUGGUGCCACGUGUCCAAACGCUGAAACCCUGCAGGUGUUGGGUUAUAUAAAGUGACGUUCAUUCAUUUCUCACCAGCUUCCUUUCACGUUUCAAGGAGGCUACUAGAAAGCUCGAGGUCGCACAUGGCUCACCGUGAAUUCCUCCUGGCCGGCGGCGCGGGUCUCCUCACCCCUUCCUUGCACAGCUUGUACCAGGCAGUCCUGACACUGGUUUCUGGAGCUCCGCUUACUCCCUGCAUUAAAAAAGACUUUUUUUUUUUUUUUAAUUGAAAAUCCUCUCCCAAUGUCCUAGAAAAUUAAGCUCAAGACAAGGCCUCUGGUCCGACCCCAAUCAGGUUGGCGACAGCCCUGUUGUCCCUGGCCUCCAGCCAGUGCCCCACAGCCCUGGGUCCUGCCUCCACACACGCGGGUCGUGUCCCUUCUUUGCAUGGUCCUGUGGUCCUGUGACUGGGGGGCACAGCCCAAAUGGUGCCCCAUCCCCUCCACCCCCCAGUGAAGAGACUUGCCCUCCGGGGGGCAAACCUCAGCAGGCCUUGGCAUUGGUAUUUAUCUCGGCCUCGGCCGCCUGCCUGGCGUCUUGAAUCGACACUGUGCAGGUCUGAGCUCCCAGGAGGCCCCGCUCUGCGGCUCCCACGGCCUGCAGACAGCACCCCGUGGCCUUAAGGCACUAAGCCUCAGUCCCCCAAACCUGAAAUGUGUCUUCCCAGGCAGCUGCUGCUGCCUCCGCCUGUCAGUCCAGACCCUCACUCCGUCCAGGGAGCUCUGUGCAGCCAGCCCUGACCAUCGCCCGGCAGGUCCUCGCCCUGCCUUCACGCCUCCAGCGGGUCCUCCACGUCUGCAGAGGACAUGCCACUGCGGGCAGGGCUGCACACGACCCACACCCACUCCCCGCCCCCGUCUGGCGCCAAGCCCACUCAACUGACACCCCCUCCAGCCUCUCAGGGCAAAUGCCGGCUUCUCUGAAAGACCUUAUGAAACUACUUCUAGGGUCGGGGACGAGCACUGGGCAAACUGGUCAGGAAGCUGUUCCGCGAUCGCUGUGUCCAGCGGUUUUUAAACCGAGACCUGGGCGUCAGACUCUGCCCUCCCGAGGAACCCAGAGGGACUGCAGCGGGCAGUCCAGGCCUGCCGGGCUUCCCGGGUCCAGGGCCCCAUCCAGGCCCCCUGCUGGCUCGGCCCCGGGGCUGGCCGCCCUUCUGAGGGUCUGGGCAGCGUUGCAGGGAGCAGGUCAGAGACACUGCAGGCCGCCCCUCUGGCGUGUGAUGGCUACACUGGGAUCCCGGGUCUGGCAGAGAGGAGCCCGUGUGCCACUGCGCGUGCACCAGUCCAGGGCCCACACUGUCCCCGUGACUCAGAUCGUCAAUGCUCCUUGGCCACCUGGCGCAGGGGGGCCGGCUUCUCCCCUGUGGGGUACUCGUCCUGCCAGCCCGCCCCAGCACGGCAGGAGGCCCUUCCACCCGGCCCUCCCUUGUCCAUCACGGUUCCUCCUCGCCUCCCAUCGGUCAUUACAAUUGUUUUCAGCAGCCAGGGUUUAUUGACCGAACUCGCAACUACCGAGGAACUGAGGGCCGCACAGCGGGCCGUCGCUGUUCCUGCAGCCCUCCACCAAGAACGCUGGGGAGAAGCGCUCGCCCGCCGCGAUCGUCGCAGCGUCAUCCACCACAGCCCAGGUACCGGAACAACCCACACGUCUGUCGAUGGAUGCACGGACAGACGGACGGCCAGCCGGCCCGAGCCAUGGGUAUAAGCGACAGGACACGGGCGACCAGGAGGGCGGAAGGGCAGGGCGUGGCGCUCACCUUCGCCCGCAAACAAACGAAACGCCGCCGCCGCCGCCCACGGGGGCGGAGGAGGAUUUGCACAGGCCGUCUGCCGAACACGGCAGGGGACAGAGACCCCCCCCAAAACAGACAAGAAGCCCCGCCGCCAACACAACUGGGUGGAGCCAAAGGGAGGGAAAGAAAGAAAAGGAGGAACCCCACAGGCCCAGCCCCCCUGAGAGGGGCUGUGGGGGAGAAAGGACCCUGCACCCUGAGAGCCCCUCACCGGCGGGGCGAUCAGCCCGCAUGGACGGGGCACCGCAGCGCCUGGGGCGAAGCGGAGCAGCGGGACCAAGGAGGACGGAGCGGAGGGCCGCCGGGUCACCACAGCCCGGGACACGCGGGGGCGGGGGCCGCUGGGCGCUGAGAUGCGGGCUUCGGAGGUGCGUUUGCAGGCGAGGACGAGGCUCGGCUGUGAGAUACGCGGCCAUCAGGCCCGGGCCUGACUCUCGCCCUGCUAAACUCAUGAGGGACCAAUGACCCGGGAACACGUGGAGCGGGCCCGUGUAGAGAGGUGUGUGUGUGUGCGCGCGCGCCCUUUGGGAGCCAAGCCCCUGCCCGUGACCCCCAAGUCGGGCCGCCCCCUCUGUUCCACUCAAGGCCACUGGCAUGCAGGGCGCUCCACGGGGGCCUGUGGUCCCCAGCGUCCAUCACAGCCAACUCACUUUCUGACCAUCGCAGAGGCAGGUGUGGACGCCAACACAACGUGUCAGGAUUUUUUUAUAUAUAACCACAUUAGGAGAAAGACAAGCCACUGCCUCGAAUGACGCUGUGAUACAUCUCAAUAAAUAACUGCUGGAGGACUGCUGGUCUCAGAGAGGCGACAAGGAGCUUUUUCAUUCCAGCACAGCUUUCAUUACAUAUGAAACUUCUUAAAACUAAAUCUAAUAUAGAAAUACUGUACUGGUUAAAAAAUGAAACUCAUUCAUAAUGAAAGCUGAGAGAAUGCCAUUCCAGAUCAAGCUUAGCCUUCCAGCUUGUACUAGGAGCAACUGUUUGAAGAUGGCUCUGGUAAUUUCAAACUUCUGUCGUCUUCACUGAGUUCUGUUGGACCAAAUAUUUCAUAUCAACCUGUCACUCAGAUCUGGACAGAAAGCACGUACCCUUCUCCCAGAGGUCCCCAUGAGAAGGGUCCAAGAUAAAGCAAAUAGAACAGGACCAAAGUUCCUAGUCUGUCUCAA